UAUUGCUAACAUUACUUGCUUCGCGCCAGCCUCAGAUCAUUAGCAAAGAGCACUGGGGACAAAAGUGAUACUUGGAUUGCUAAGUAUAUCCUUUACACAUUUAAAUUGGACACAAUUUGAGAUAAUACUUAGGUUUUGGAUGGAUAAUGGCACAAGAUCCACAAGGAAACUGAAAUUGUCCAAUGCAAGGUUUCAAAUGGAUAAUGGCACAAGAUCCACAAGGAAACUGAAAUGUAAGGUUUCAAAUGGAUAAUGGCACAAGAUCCACAAGGAAACUGAAAUGUCCAAUGCAAGGUUUCAAAUGGAUAAUGGCACAAGAUCCACAAGGAAACUGAAAUGUCGCAUUCAAUGCGACGAAGAGAACACUUGGGUGCAUCAAUACUGAUCAUUCUC
rnacentral:lncRNA from 1 species